CCUACGGGUGGCUGCAGUGGGGAAUUUUGGACAAUGGGCGCAAGCCUGAUCCAGCCAUUCCGCGUGAGUGAAGAAGGCCUUCGGGUUGUAAAGCUCUUUCGGCCGGGAAGAAAUCGCACGGGUUAAUACCCUGUGUGGAUGACGGUACUGGAAGAAGAAGCACCGGCUAACUACGUGCCAGCAGCCGCGGUAAUACGUAGGGUGCGAGCGUUAAUCGGAAUUACUGGGGGUAAAGCUGGAGCAGGCGGGUGAAAUCCCCGGGCGUAACCUGGGAACUGCGGUUGUGACUGCAAGACUUGAGUGCGGCAGAGGGGGGUGGAAUUCCACGUGUAGCAGUGAAAGGCGUAGAGAUGUGGAGGAACACCGAUGGCGAAGGCAGCCCCCUGGGUCGACACUGACGCUCAUGCACGAAAGCGUGGGGAGCAAACAGGAUUAGAUACCCCGGUAGUC
rnacentral:rRNA from 1 species